rnacentral:rRNA from 1 species
AAUAGAUACCCCGGUAGUCCACGCCGUAAACGAUGAGUGCUAAGUGUUAGAGGGUUUCCGCCCUUUAGUGCUGCAGCUAACGCAUUAAGCACUCCGCCUGGGGAGUACGGUCGCAAGACUGAAACUCAAAGGAAUUGACGGGGGCCCGCACAAGCGGUGGAGCAUGUGGUUUAAUUCGAAGCAACGCGAAGAACCUUACCAGGUCUUGACAUCCUCUGACAACUCUAGAGAUAGAGCGUUCCCCUUCGGGGGACAGAGUGACAGGUGGUGCAUGGUUGUCGUCAGCUCGUGUCGUGAGAUGUUGGGUUAAGUCCCGCAACGAGCGCAACCCUUGAUCUUAGUUGCCAGCAUUCAGUUGGGCACUCUAAGGUGACUGCCGGUGACAAACCGGAGGAAGGCGGGGAUGACGUCAAAUCAUCAUGCCCCUUAUGACCUGGGCUACACACGUGCUACAAUGGAUGGUACAAAGGGCUGCAAGACCGCGAGGUCAAGCCAAUCCCAUAAAACCAUUCUCAGUUCGGAUUGUAGG